GAUAAAGGCCCGUAACUUGCUGAGUUUUGCUUCUAUAGGCUUGAAAAUUUCACAGAAUAUUCUUGAAAUAUUUUACUAUAAGAAAAUACAAAGAAAAUAAUAAAUGAUUUUUCAAAAGUGUAGACCCUACCCGCCCCGAACCUAUAGUUUCGACGUAGUUCAACUGAAAAUCGAGUCAGUUUCGAACCUGGUUUCUUAUAUCAGGUUAGCAAGAAUUUCCGUUGCUAGGUAACAAAAAAGAAACAACUAAUCCAACACAGUUUCGUUAAAAUUGUUUGCUUCUUGAAUCUACCCUGGGUCAGUUUCAGUUUUCUCAAGCGACAUAAGUACUUUUUCCUCAGUGUUUCCGGUAGAAAGUUUUCAUCACAGCAGGCUAGACAUUGAACGAAAAAAAAUCUCCCGUCAUUGUAUUUCGAGCUACUUCAAGAUAGGAAGCAUAAAUUGAGCAGUAAAACCAAAUUGAAGCGAAUUUCAAACAAUUUUUUUUUGGAAAUAUCAAGAGCAUAUAGGACCACUCUCGGAAUGGAUGGAAUUACCAAACGUUCAAACAACGAAACUCACCAGGAACCGAUGGACGCGGGACGCCGUCGCCGCGGCAACAGAUCUCGAUCGAGGUCCCGUUCCCGACAAGGGAUGGGCCGUAGAAGCAGCCGUACUCGCAUGAGUCGUUCCCGUAGCCGUUCUCGCAGCAGACGUAGAUAGAGUUGAAAUCUUUAACGGUGAUGUAGGGACAUCGAGUUUUCGAAGUUGGGUGUGAAUAAAAAUUUCAUGAAAAGUUAAGAAA